ensembl:lncRNA
CCCCCGUCUUAAUAUUAAUGCUUUGCUAGAGGGAAAACAACUUUAGCUUGACAAUAGCUAGGCCUCCAGUAUCCUGUGAAUCUUUUUCAGCACAGGAAAAUCUCUUUGGAAAGUUCCCUUUUGACCUUACCUCCCCAACUCUAUAGUACAUAGCUAGUCAUUCCUCACAACCCCAGUGCAGCUCUUUUUGCCCAAGGGUCCUCCUGCCCGUGAGCUUUAACAAAAUCACCUUUUUUGCACCAAAGACAUCUUCAAGAAUUCUUUCUUGGCCGUCAGCUCCGAACCCAUCAUCACCCCCAAAACGUCAUCAUAACCAUCACCGCUGCUAUUCCGCGUGGUCUGGGGAGCAGAAUCAACCGUCUCUCCCGGGAACUUGCUGGAAAUGCAGAACCUUGGUCCUACACCUUCCAGAACGGAAUCUGCAUUUCAACAGGAUCCUCCAGGGUGAUUCCUGAGCACACUUAAGUUAGAGAAGCUCUAAGGUGACUCCUGGGAUCAGCUACAUAUGAGACUCUCCUGGGUAGACCGAACCCCUGGAUGAAGGACUGCAGAGUUUCUGGGGCUGCCGCUCAGGCAUCAGGAUUUUUUCAAAGUUCCCCCAAGCCCUUGCGUGACGCGUCCCCCUUUCCAGGGAGGUCAGGCUGACUCCUGCAGGAAGGAGGGGGGAGGGGAGGGGGAGGGGGGACUGGGCUCCCGGCUCCGGAGGCUCUGCAGCUUUAAGAAGGGGAGCUGGCUGCCAGCCACGGAGGCCCCCGGGAGGCCGCCUGCCAUCUUGCACGGGCCACGUGAGCACAGGCUGCAGGCUGCGACAGUCAGCGCUGGGCCUUGCCUGGGCUUGCAGACCCGAGCCCCGCAGGCCGGCCCCAGCGGCGGUGGCGCCGGCAAGCCGAAGAAAGGGGACCUUUAUGCCUUUUGGGGGAAGCACACAUUCUGCGAGGCCGUGGAAACAAAGAGAGGAACUGUUUGUAGCCCUAGUCCAGACGUCCCAAACAAACAGAAGCCCUGAACAAGCCCUGGGAGGAGGAGCCACUUCAGAGGAGCUCCCUCUGGCUGGAAAUUUUACACCUGCAGCAAGACCAGCCUCUGCUGCUGCCCUGAAGCAUGUUGAACACUGACUGGUCCAGCCAGGCAAACAAAGGGUUAAGAUUCCGCUGACGCGUUGAAACCUCCUUCUAGAGCAUGUUAACCUUAAAGAGAAAACUGCCGGCCAUUUCACCAGCAAAAACGGGUUUAUUUGGAAAUAGCAGAGAAUUGCAAUCCCAGGACAUGCGGGCUGUGGCAAAACUACAGGCAAGGCCAGAGGCAAGUCCGGGGAGCCAAGGGGAGGUAGGUAGCUCCUUUCCAGAGGGAAGGGGGAAGAUGGGAGAGCUGUUAUAAUCCGGAAGUCCAUUGGAGUAAACUGGGAGUUCGAAGGGUAGCGCCUCCUGAUUGGCUGAGCUGUGACUGUCAUUGGCGGGGCUGUUGCCAGGAGAGGAGGAGACCUUUCCUCCUCCUGCUGGGGCAGUACACUAGUAGCUAAAGUAGUAUUGGACUUGCUAAGGUGUAGGUCUUCCUGUUGGGGCUGUGAGCGCUCCCCCUGCUGGCCUCCCUCCUCCGUUUUAAACUCAACCAUAACCUGAACUAACCUGGUUUCCUUUCAUUAGUUUUCACAAGAAGUCAACAUACAGGAUUCCUUUCUGAAUGCAAUUUCCUGGAGCUUUGACGCCAUCUCUGUAUUUAAAAAUCUGCCGUAUUUUUUUUUCAUCCACCAAAAAUCUCUGUAAGGCACUGUACCUGGAGUAGCGGGGUGGGGUGGUGGGGCAGGGAAUAUAAAGAAGAAAACAUAAAAUCUGUUCCUUCUAGGCACCUAAAUCUAAACAACAGAAGUCACACAUAGACAGAAAAUCUGGCCUAUUCUUUCAUUUGUGAUUGCACGUGGCAUGCAGUCGCUUGUUCAUCCGAGCAUAAGUAUUUUUGGUGUGUGCUAUGUGCUUUGGCUGUCGUAACACCGCGGGAGGCCCAAGAUGUGAACCUGCUCUCUGGGUACUUGGGGUCUCCCCGGGAAAGAGGAAGGGGGUUCAGAGUCCAGUAAAACAUCAGGCCGAAGUCAGUGGCUCAAAGAAUGCUCUGGGGGCAAGGAGACCCGGCAACCAGUCGGCGUGAGCC